CCAAUCCUAGUCAUGCAUCUCAGGGUUCAGAAACAACACAGCCAUGUAGUGGGGACCUGGCCAGCUUUCAUCAAGAGGCCAGAUGUGGAGUGCUAAUAGAUGGGGAUCUUCUCCUCACCCAAGCCCUGCCUUAGCUUCCACAGUUGGAAGAGGGAACAAAAACAGCAUGGGGAUGAUUCUGCCAGCCUGUGAUGCCUUGAGUCUCACAGCCAGCGGUGGGAGGUCCCGGGCUCAGGCCUCGGGAGCCAGCAGGCACACUGUCCACUCACUGGCUCUGAAUAAGGCCGAGACCAAUGAGGCUGUGUCCAGUCCAUCUCCCAGCAUGCUUUGCCUCUGCUUGCUUAGGCUGUAUGUUCACUUAGCCAUACACACUUCUAGCUUUGUGUUUUGCUUAAGGGACAUGGUCAGAGAGCUGGGUUCUUGAGUUAGGGAGGAGAAACUAAGCCAAAGGCUUCACUCUGACCUAGGUGCAGCUUUGUCCUCCCUCCCUGGCCUGAGGCCGACCCCAGCAGACCUUUCACACCCUUCCUUUCUUCCUGAGAAACUAAGUGGACCUGGAAGCCCACUGGACCCAGUGCCCACUGAGGCUGUUGCUGGAGUUGUUUAUAAACACACACCAUGCUUUGUCUUACAUGAAAUGAUAAACGGAUGGCUCCUGCUGUGUCCCUGGGCCCUGGGCUUCAUUGCCCCAAUUUGUGGUUCUUUGGUGGUUCCUGCCCCAUCAAACUGCAUAUUGUCUUGUCCAGUAAUAGCCUGGUGCCUGGAUUGCCCAUCUAUGCUGGAACCCAAGAUGGCCUUCUCAAAUAAUUUUGUUAAGAUGACAAUAAAAUGAAUCAGAUGUCACACUUUGAACAC
rnacentral:lncRNA from 1 species